AGCGAACGCUGGCGGCAGGCUUAACACAUGCAAGUCGAACGGGCUUCUUCGGAAGUCAGUGGCAGACGGGUGAGUAACACGUGGGAACGUGCCCUUCGGUUCGGAAUAACUCAGGGAAACUUGAGCUAAUACCGGAUACGCCCUCUUGGGGAAAGGUUGACUGCCGAAGGAUCGGUCCGCAUCUGAUUAGCUUGUUGGUGGGGUAACGGCCUACCAAGGCGACGAUCAGUAGCUGGUCUGAGAGGAUGAUCAGCCACACUGGGACUGAGACACGGCCCAGACUCCUAGGGGAGGGAGCAGAGGGGAAUAUUGGACAAUGGGCGCAAGGCUGAUCCAGCCAUGCCGCGUGAGUGAUGAAGGCCUUAGGGUUGUAAAGCUCUUUUGUCCGGGACGAUAAUGACGGUACCGGAAGAAUAAGCCCCGGCUAACUUCGUG
rnacentral:rRNA from 1 species